rnacentral:lncRNA from 1 species
UCUCUGACGAACUGUACUAUGUACCUGUAUUUGAAAUAAGUAUCAUCUAGUAUUUUGUAACUACUACAUCAAAGUAAUUCUUAGUGACAAGGAAAGGGCAAAAGUUAAUCCGGACACUGAUAUUCAUGUUUCCUUAAAAAGCUGCCACAACCAUUAACUCUUCCAUUGUCGGGAGAAAUAUUAAGAAAUCAAUGUAGGAUUAUAGUCCAUGAAGUAGGCACUUCAGUUUCAGCAUGAUACUCUAAUUCUUUUCACUAACUUCUUUGGUUUAAAAUGAAAACCAAAAUGUAAAUUUUAAACCAUUGCAUGGGGCUCCAUCAAGGAUCGGCACUUAGCCCUCUCUUAUUUGCCUUGGUGAUGGAUGCUCUAACUCGACAUAUUCAAGGGGAUGUACCUUGGUGUAUGCUAUUUGCUGAUGACAUAGUCUUGAUAGACGAGACGAGGUUGGUGUUAUGGAGACAGACUCUUGAGUCUAAGGGUUUCAAAAUAAGUAGAUCUAAGACAGAAUACCCGGAGUGCAAGUUUAGCGCCGAGUCGAGCGAAGUAGGCAGGGACGUGAUGAUUGGAUCUCAGGU